rnacentral:rRNA from 1 species
GACGAACGCUGGCGGCGCGCUUAACACAUGCAAGUCGAGCGAUGAAAUUUCGACAGAUCCCUUCGGGGGGAAGAUGAAAUGGAUUAGCGGCGGACGGGUGAGUAACACGUGAGUAACCUGCCUUUGACAUUGGGAUAGCCUCGGGAAACUGGGAUUAAUACCAAAUGACACUGACUGAUCACAUGAUCAAUUAGUCAAAGAGAUUCGGUCAAAGAUGGACUCGCGGCUGAUUAGCUAGUUGGUGAGGGAACGGCCCACCAAGGCGACGAUCAGUAGCCGGCAGGGGAGGGGGACCGGCUAGAUCUGAGCUGCGACACGGACCAAACUCCGACGGGAGGGAGCAGUGGGUAAUAUUGCGGGAGGGGGGAAGACGUGAUGCAGCGGCGCGGGGUAAGCGAAGAAGGCCUUCGGGUCGUAAAGCUCCUUUAUGCGGGAAGAUAAUGACGGUAACGGAAGAAGAAGCCCCGGCUAACUACGUG